rnacentral:rRNA from 1 species
GAAGACGACGAGGUAGAUAGGCUGGGGGUGGAAGUGCAGCAAUGCAUGGAGCUGACCAGUACUAAUCGGUCGAGGGCUUAUCCAA